UGAACAUGAGACGCUAAGGCGUCGAAGUAGUGUAUAUCAGACCUCCAAGAAAAGCUUGCACUGUCAUAGAUAAAAAAUGCCUGUACCAUAACCGACACAGGUGGGUAGGUAGAGUAUACUAAGGGGCGCGAGAUAACUCUCUCUAAGGAACUCGGCAAAAUAACUCCGUAACUUCGGGAGAAGGAGUGCCUUAUUUAUAAGGUUGCAAUAACAAGAUCCAAGCAACUGUUUAUCAAAAACACAGGUCUCCGCUAAGUCGUAAGACGAUGUAUGGGGGCUGACGCCUGCCCAGUGCCAGAAGGUUAAAGAAGUUGGUUAGCAAUUGCGAAGCUGAUAACUGAAGCCCUGGUGAACGGCGGCCGUAACAAUAACGGUCCUAAGGUAGCGAAAUUCCUUGUCGGGUAAGUUCCGACCCGCACGAAAGGCGUACUGAUUUGGAUACUGUCUCGGAGAGGGGCUCGGUGAAAUAGACUUGUCUGUGAAGAUGCGGACUACCUGCACCAGGACAGAAAGACCCUAUGAAGCUUUACUGUAACUUGAAAUUGAAAUUGGACUUUAUUCGCGCAGCAUAGGUGGGAGGCGUUGAUUAUAAUCUUGCGGGAUUAUUGGAGCCAUCAGUGAGAUACCACUCUUGUAAUGUUAGAUUUCUAACUUUGAAUCAUUAUCUGGUCAAAGAACAGUUUCAGGCGGGCAGUUUGACUGGGGCGGUCGCCUCCUAAAUGGUAACGGAGGCGUACAAAGGUUUCCUCUGAACGGUUAGAAAUCGUAUCUAGAGUGUAAAGGCAUAAGGAAGCUUGACUGUGAGACCUACAAGUCGAGCAGGGACGAAAGUCGGUCUUAGUGAUCUGACGGUACUGAGUGGAAAGGCCGUCACUCAACGGAUAAAAGUUACUCUAAGGAUAACAGGCUGAUCUCCCCCAAGAGUUCACAUCGACGGGGAGGUUUGGCACCUUGAUGUCGGCUCAUCGCAUCCUGGGGCGGUAGUACGUCCCAAGGGUUGGGCUGUUCGCCCAUGAAAGCGGUACGCGAGCUGGGUUCAGAACGUCGUGAGACAGUUCGGUCCAUAUCCGGUGUAGGCGUUAGAAUAUUGAGAGGAGCCUUCUUUAGUACGAGAGGACCGAGAAGGACAUACCUCUGGUGUACCAGUUAUCGUGCCAACGGUAAACGCUGGGUAGCUAUGUAUGGAGUGGAUAACCGCUGAAAGCAUCUAAGUGGGAAGCCCACCUCAAGAUAAGUA
rnacentral:rRNA from 1 species